rnacentral:siRNA from 1 species
UAAGUGUGCUUUCAGCUUUA